rnacentral:rRNA from 1 species
UAGUCUACGCUGUAAACGAUGGAUACUAGUUGUUUGGCUUUCGGGCUGAGUGACUAAGCGAAAGUGAUAAGUAUCCCACCUGGGGAGUACGUUCGCAAGAAUGAAACUCAAAGGAAUUGACGGGGGCCCGCACAAGCGGUGGAGCAUGUGGUUUAAUUCGAUGAUACGCGAGGAACCUUACCAGGGCCUAAAUGUAGUAUGACAGACUGAGAGAUCGGUUUUUCUUCGGACAUAUUACAAGGUGCUGCAUGGUUGUCGUCAGCUCGUGCCGUGAGGUGUCAGGUUAAGUCCUAUAACGAGCGCAACCCCUGUUGUUAGUUGCCAUCGAGUAAUGUCGGGAACUCUAACAAGACUGCCGGUGCAAACCGCGAGGAAGGUGGGGAUGACGUCAAAUCAUCACGGCCCUUACGUCCUGGGCCACACACGUGCUACAAUGGUAGGUACAGAGAGCAGCCACGUCGCGAGGCGGAGCGAAUCUAUAAAAGUCGUCUCAGUUCGGAUUGUUCU